UAUCCUUGCAUAAUAAUACAGAACAAUCUAACCUUUAUGCAGGUCUUCUUUGCAGAUUACUUUUUCAAAUCAAACCUGGCUUACAAUUUCUCUUAUGCUGGUAUACAGUUCUCCUGACUAAGCCUGACAUUUCCAUAACCAAAAUAGGAUGGAGAUCAAUGGGUCGGCUGGUGUGUCUGAGAAUGCUGUAGAUAGGAUUGUUGUGAAGAGUUUCUGAACCUACAGAAGUUUCUAAUUAUUUCAACUGCCAUAGUUGCACACUUGCGGGGCUUCAUUUUAACUUCAUUCAGAUUCGUAGCCAGUGAUUUAGCAAAACAUGGCCAUUUUGACACUGGAAUAGAGUUAUGCCACUAUGUGAUAGAACAAAAGCAUGUUGGAUCAAAGAGGAAAAGUAGGGAGCCUAUGCAUAGGGUAGGAAACUUUGGAUCUAAGAAGAGUGGUGACACUUUUAUCAUGCAUGACAUUGUGCUUAAUGCAAUCACUAAGCAGUUAUGUAGUU